CGGGAGGCAGCAGUAGGGAAUUUUCGGCAAUGGACGGAAGUCUGACCGAGCAACGCCGCGUGAAUGAUGAAGUAUUUCGGUAUGUAAAGUUCUUUUAUUUGGGAAGAAAAAACAAAUUGACGGUACCAAAUGAAUAAGCCCCGGCUAACUACGUGCCAGCAGCCGCGGUAAUACGUAGGGGGCAAGCGUUAUCCGGAAUUAUUGGGCGUAAAGGGUGCGUAGGCGGGUUAUCAAGUCUUUGGUUAAAAUGCGGUGCUCAACGCCGUAGUGCCAAAGAAACUGAUAGUCUAGAGUAUGGUAGAAGUGAGUGGAACUCCAUGUGUAGCGGUAAAAUGCGUAAAUAUAUGGAAGAACACCAGUGGCGAAGGCGGCUCACUAGGCCAAUACUGACGCUGAGACACGAAAGCGUGGGGAGCAAACAGGAUUAGAUACCCUGGUAGUCCACGCCCUAAACGAUGAGUACUAAGUGUAGCCAGAAGGCUGUGCUGAAGUUAACGCAUUAAGUACUCCGCCUGAGUAGUACGUACGCAAGUAUGAAACUUAAAGGAAUUGACGGGAUCCCGCACAAGCGGUGGAGCAUGUUGUUUAAUUCGACGAUACGCGAAGAACCUUACCAGGUCUUGACAUACUCGGCAAAUCUAUAGAGAUAUAGAGGAGGUUAACCGGGAUACAGGUGGUGCAUGGUUGUCGUCAGCUCGUGUCGUGAGAUGUUAGGUUAAGUCCUGCAACGAGCGCAACCCUUAUUGCUAGUUACCAUCAUUAAGUUGGGGACUCUAGCGAGACUGCCGGUGAUAAACCGGAGGAAGGCGGGGAUGACGUCAAAUCAUCAUGCCCUUUAUGACCUGGGCUACAAACGUGCUACAAUGGCUGACACAAAGAGAAGCGAGCUCGCGAGAGUAAGCAAACCUCAGAAAAGCAGUCUCAGUUCGGAUUGAAGUCUGCAACUCGACUUCAUGAAGUUGGAAUCGCUAGUAAUCGCGAAGCAGAGUGUCGCGGUGAAUACGUUCCCGGGAUUUGUACACACCGCCCGUCAAACCAUGAGAGUUUGUAAUACCCGAAGCCGGUGGCCGAACCGCAAGGAAGGAGCCGUCUAAGGUAGGACAGAUGAUUGGGGUUAAGUCGUAACAAGGUAUCCCUACGAGAACGUGGGGAUG
rnacentral:rRNA from 1 species